UCAUCCAUUACACAAUAAUCACAGUGUCUGCUAAUCAAUGCUAACAGGUUGUCUACAGGUUGUUUACAGGUUGUUUACAGGUUGUCUACAGGUUGUUUACAGGGUGUUUACAGGUUGUUUACAGGGUGUUUACAGGUUGUCUACAGGUUGUCUACAGGUUGUUUACAGGUUGUUUACAGGUUGUUUACAGGUUGUCUACAGGUUGUUUACAGGUUGUUUACAGGUUGUCUACAGGUUGUUUACAGGUUGUUUACAGGUUGUCUACAGGUUGUUUACAGGUUGUUUACAGGUUGUCUACAGGUUGUUUACAGGGUGUUUACAUGUUGUUUACAGGUUGUCUACAGGUUGUAUACAGGUUGUUUACAAGUUGUUUACAGGGUGUUUACAGGUUGUCUACAGGUUGUCUACAGGUUGUUUACAGGUUGUUUACAGGUUGUCUACAGGUUGUUUACAGGUUGUCUACAGGGUGUUUACAUGUUGUUUACAGGUUGUCUACAGGUUGUUUACAGGUUGUCUACAGGGUGUUUACAUGUUGUUUACAGGUUGUCUACAGGUUGUCUACAGGUUGUUUACAGGGUGUUUACAGGGUGUUUACAGGUUGUCUACAGGUUGUUUACAGGUUGUUUACAGGUUGUCUACAGGUUGUUUACAGGGUGUUUACAGGUUGUUUACAGGUUGUAUUAUUCAUACUGAUAUCACAGCUACUGCUACUGCUACUAUUAGUACCACUGC